rnacentral:tRNA from 1 species
CGGGGCGUGGCGCAGUCUGGUUUAGCGCGUUUGACUGGGGGUCAAAAGGUCGCUGGUUCGAAUCCAGUCGCCCCGA